GAUCCUGGCCAAAAAACAGCUUAAAGAGUCAAGAACUUGUCAAGAAGCAGCUCUAUUGACCAUGCCUUCAGAAAUAAGACAAGAGUUCAGUCAUAGUGAGCUGGCCAAUCCUUUAAGCUGCAAUUCCACUACAUAUGGUUUUGGCCUUAGUAAAGGCAACAGAGUUUGUGGAGGUGAAGUCAAUGGGCUGUCUGUUCUUGGCACAUGAACCUCUCCUUUCUUUGACUGAGAAAAAACACAGUGACAGCAGAGAGAUCAAGAAGUGCUUGGCAAGUAGGAAUCAUGAAAAAUAAUGAAAAAAGAAGACAAGUUCCAACAAAGGCCAUAGAAAACAAACAGAACCAAAACCACAGAACCUACCACACAGCAGGAAAGUAUUUCUCAGUUGCACAUCAUAACCACACAGAAGACAGGAGACCUAUACACACAAAUUUUAAUACCUGAAAGAGUUAAGAACACCUAAAAGUGUCUAUAAUCAGUCAUUCUUGGAGCCAGGAUGAGGUAUGAUCUUGAGAGAAUUUAAUGGUACUAUCUGCUCUGCUGCAGAAGAUUGACUUUCCUUCUGAUAAAUAAUGACGACACAGUACUGUGAGCUGGAAAAGUUGACCAGGAAAGCAAAAGACUUAACCAGCCAUUUCAGGAUGGGCUUUUGUGAGAAGCAGAAGAUAAAUAGAGAUCAAGGAAAUAAUUAUGACCCAUCACAGCUAUAAUGAUGAAAACACCAUACUAAAAAACAAACCACAUUUCUUGACCAGUAAUGUUCCAUUUCGUACUUGCUGCAUGGAUGAACAUGUACUCCCUACUAAGUUCCUAAAUGACAUCCAUUACCAUAGUUUUAAUUUCACCUCAGAGAUUAUAUCCUACUUUACUGGUAUUAAAGAUCAUUACUGAGGAUCCAGCCUGUGAGCUGUGGAACACGGAUGAACUGCUGGAUAGUGUGAUCUUUCCAUGGCAACCACCCAUCAAUCACAACACAGCUGUGCAGAAUCAGGAAGCACACCAUGACUACACCCGUCUUGAGUGUGACUCGCAAAAUGUGGAGGGAUGGAGGGUAUAUUCCCUGCCUUCAAGAGAGCCCUAGGUAAUUACCUACCAACUGAGUUACUUCAGUCAAAUUUCAGCAAUUACAAAGCAAGAACCCAUAUCAAAUUGCCUUAGAAAAGCGUGUGAAAUCUCAUGAAAAUUAUGUCAUCACUGAUGGAAAAUAAGAUUCAAUAUGAUAACGAGUGAAAUACAACAAGCUAAUAACUCUGCAGUUUAAUAGCUCAUACUCUGAUCUUAUAUAAAUGCUGUCCUAGAA